GACGGAGGGUGCAAGCGUUGUUCGGAAUUACUGGGCGUAAAGGGCGCGUAGGCGGUCUGUUAAGUUCGGUGUGAAAGCCCCCGGCUUACCCGGGGAACUGCGCCGGAAACCGACAGACUAGAGUACCGGAGAGGAGGGUGGAAUUCCUGGUGUAGCGGUGAAAUGCGUAGAUAUCAGGAGGAACACCGGUGGCGAAGGCGGCCCUCUGGACGGAUACUGACGCUGAGGCGCGAAAGCGUGGGGAUCAAACAGG
rnacentral:rRNA from 1 species